rnacentral:rRNA from 1 species
AAACGAUAGGAUGAGGUGUGGGUAGGGGUGAAAUUACAAUCGAACGUGGAGAUAGCUGGUUCUCCCCGAAAUAGCUUUAGGGCUAGCCUCAGGUGGUGAUUACAGGCGGUAGAGCACUGAUCAGGAGAGGGACCUACCCGGUUACCAAACCCAGUCAAACUCCGAAUGGCUGUAAUCAAACCUGGGAGUCAGACUACGACUUAUAAGGGUCGUGGUCAAGAGGGAAACAGCCCAGAUCAUCAGCUAAGGUCCCAAAUGCCGUGCUAAGUGGCGAAGGAUGUGGCGUUUCAUAAACAACCAGGAUGUUGGCUCAGAAGCAGCCACCAUUCAAAGAGUGCGUAAUAGCUCACUGGUCGAGAGACGCUGCGCCGAAGAUGUCCGGGGCUCAAGCACGGAACCGAAGCUAUGGCAGAUUGCUUGCAAUCUGGGUAGGGGAGCGUUCUUAUCACGGAGAAGCGGUACCGUAAGGAGCCGUGGAGAGGUAAGAAGUGAGAAUGCUGGUAUGAGUAUCGAAAAGGCUGGUGAGAAUCCAGCCCACCGAAAGCCCGAGGGUUCCUGAGCAACGAUCGUCGUCUCAGGGUAAGUCGGGACCUAAGCCGAGGCAAAGACGCAUAGGCGAUGGAGAACAGGUUGAAAUUCCUGUACCGGAGCAGUCCGUCUGAGUGAAGGAGUGACGCAGCAGGGCACACGAGCAUGCGGUUGGAAGAGCAUGUCUAAGCCCGUAGCCCGUAUGGCAGGGAAAUCCGCCAUACAGAAGGGUGAGAGGUGAUGGGGAGUUAAAGGCAACUUUGACGAACUCGUGAAUCCCACACUGCCAAGAAAAGCUUCUAGCAAGGACUGAUCCGCCCGUACCGUAAACCGACACAGGUAGGUGAGGAGAGAAUCCUAAGGUGCGCGGGAGAACCCUCGUUAAGGAACUCGGCAAAUUGCAUCCGUAACUUCGGAAGAAGGAUGGCCCUGAGUAGGCGAAGAGUCAAGCACUUGGAACCGGAAAGGGCGGCAGAAAAGAGGCCCAAGCAACUGUUUACCAAAAACACAGGUGCCUGCGAAAGCGAAAGCUGACGUAUAGGUGCUGACGCCUGCCCGGUGCUGGAAGGUUAAGGGGAGAGGUUAGCGCAAGCGAAGCUUUGAACUUAAGCCCCAGUAAACGGCGGCCGUAACUAUAACGGUCCUAAGGUAGCGAAAUUCCUUGUCGGGUAAGUUCCGACCCGCACGAAAGGCGUAAUGAUUUGAGCGCUGUCUCGACAAUGCACCCGGUGAAAUUGAAGUACCAGUGAAGAUGCUGGUUACCUGCGCCAGGACGGAAAGACCCCAUGGAGCUUUACUCCAGCUUGAUACUGGGAUCCGAUGCUGUAUGUACAGGAUAGGUGGGAGGCUAAGAAGCGGUGACGCCAGUUGCCGCAGAGCCGAUGUUGGGAUACCACCCUUGCAGUAUUGGAUUUCUAACCAGCUGCCGUGACCCGGCAGUGGGACAAUGUCUGGCGGGGAGUUUGACUGGGGCGGUCGCCUCCGAAAGGGUAUCGGAGGCGCUCAAAGGUUCCCUCAGAAUGGUUGGAAACCAUUCGAAGAGUGCAAAGGCAGAAGGGAGCUUGACUGCGACACCGACGGGUGGAGCAGGUACGAAAGUAGGACUUAGUGAUCCGGUGGUAUAAAGUGGGAUUGCCAUCGCUCAACGGAUAAAAGCUACCCUGGGGAUAACAGGCUUAUCACUCCCAAGAGUUCACAUCGACGGAGUGGUUUGGCACCUCGAUGUCGGCUCAUCGCAUCCUGGGGCUGUAGUAGGUCCCAAGGGUUGGGCUGUUCGCCCAUUAAAGCGGUACGCGAGCUGGGUUCAGAACGUCGUGAGACAGUUCGGUCCCUAUCCGUUGUGGGCGCAGGAAAUUUGAGAGGAGCUGUCCUUAGUACGAGAGGACCGGGAUGGACGUACCUCUGGUGUACCGGUUGCAGACCAACUGCACAGCCGGGUAGCUAUGUAUGGAACGGAUAAACGCUGAAGGCAUCUAAGCGUGAAGCCGCCCUCAAGAUAAGAUUUCCCAUUCU